rnacentral:misc_RNA from 1 species
GAUGAAGAACGUAGCGAAAUGCGAUAAGUAGUGUGAAUUGCAGAAUUCAGUGAAUCAUCGAAUCUUUGAACGCACAUUGCGCCCCUUGGUAUUCCAUGGGGCAUGCCUGUUCGAGCGUCAUUUGUACCUUCAAGCUCUGCUUGGUGUUGGGUGUUUGUCUCGCCUCUGCGUGUAGACUCGCCUCAAAACAAUUGGCAGCCGGCAUAUUGAUUUCGGGGCGCAGUACAUCUCGCGCUUUGCACUCAUAACGACGACGUCCAAAAGUACAUUUUUACACUCUUGACCUCGGAUCAGGUAGGGAUACCCGCUGAACUUAAGCAUAUCAAUAAGCGGAGGA